CCUUAUCUUAAAAAAUAAGUUGGUUUUUUUUUUUUAAAAAAAACUAAGUUUUAUUUUAUUUUUUGAAGUUAGAAAGUAUGCAACUUGUCUGUGGGAGACAAAAACUCUGAGAAAUAUAUUAAACAUUGGAAAGGAAGGGAGAGUAGGGGUACAUUGUUCAGGGUUGCAAAGUGAAGUUGAGAGUCUUAAAUAGAGGGAGGCCUAUGUACUUUCUUAAAAUCAAACCAACAGCAAAUAGGAACACAAGCAAUAGAUUCUGGAAGAAUUGUUUGCUAUGGAGUAAAUCAUGUAUUUGUCUAUUCACCAAAUGCUAUAUACCUAGAUGCUUCUACAAGGAAGAACAAAAAACCAUGUUAAUGAACUCAGACAUUUGAAUAGUGUUGUUGCUGUCCAUAGAUGAGAGCUUUAAUAGUGUUGUUGCUGUCCAUAGAUGAGAGCCUAAGCAGUUUUCCUACCAGCAAAGAAUAAUGUACCUUGAGAAAGAUGUGUGAACAUGUAAGUUCCUAUUAAUGCACAUUUAUCACAAAAAUUAAUCUGAGCAUAAGCAAUGGGCAAUGUGAGUGUUGAGGAUCGCUUGAAAUCAGGAGUUCGAGACCAGCCUGAGUAGCAAAGCAAGACCCCUACCCCCGCCAUCUACACAGAAAAAAAAAUUAAUGGUAACUAAAACACAACGAAAAUAUUGUCAAUCAGAAACAAAUAAUACAUGAGAAAGAAACGAAGCCAUAACUACCAAAACCAGAAAUGUAUGUCUCAGAGACCAGAAAACACUUUUGAUCCAAAAUUAAAUAUCCAAUAUUUUCACACAGUUAGAAUUCAUCUUAUAUUUCUAGUCUAAUCUAUGCUUGACGCUUUCCAUUGCUACUGGGUGACACGGAUCACUUUUCUCUAAUUUUGUUUUCAGUUUUGCUAUUUCUUAUAUUGUGUAUCUGCCUCCAUGAGUUUUAAAUGGCUAAAUUAUUUGCUUAGAAUUCAGGUGUUUUUCUUAACAGAUUAUUUCUAGCUGAAGCUGUUUCUGUCACAUAUUGUUGAAUUCCAAAUGCCCCCCUAAAACAUAACCAUAAAAGUAAUUUCUUUCCUAUCCUCAUCAACACUUCAGAUAGUUAAUAGCUGCGGGCACAUGUUAUAAAAGAAGUUGCUGAAGAAGGGAACUUGAAGUGAAUUUGGCAUAGAGUCAUGGAUGGUACUAAACACAUGGAUGAAGUUAUUUACUUAAAAUUUUUCUUGUCGGCCUGAUUUGGCUAUAUUUUCAAAAUUGACACAUACUAUGCUGUAGACUUCUAUUUUCACUAGCUGAGAAACAGAAUGAUUACAGACUUUUGCAUGUUAUGCAUUUUUAAAUAUCACCAAGUUAAACUUAGAUUUUGAUUCCGUGCCCAGGACCAAGUGGAAAAAAAUCUCCAUCUUCAAUAGUUCCUAUUAUCUUUUAGUCACAGGGCCACAUACUGUAUUUCUUCCAUGAGUAAAACUCCCACUUGGAAUUCCAAGCAUUGCAUAACUAGUGGAGUAUUCAUAUCAUAUAUAACUCAGUAGGCCUUCAUAUCCUAAUCAGCUAUUUCAUCUGCACAAUAUUCUUCUUAGCAGUUAAAAAUCUUAAAAUCAUAGUUCAGAAUGGAGCCAACAUUUAAUUCAGCCAACAAAUAUUUAUUAAACACCUACUUCUACUACUGGUGUUACAACCAUGACUACUACUUUACAUAGUUUUGUAUUGCUUUAAAUUGUUUUUACAAACCUCAUCUCAUUUACUACAGUGAAAUUACCUACUGCUUUGAAGGAGCUUAGAGACUCAUAAAGUAGAUUAAAUCAAUUGUCAGAAAAACUGGGCUUUAAAGAACUUGUCUACGAUGGUACCGGCUACUGUAGUAUUUUAGAUGAUUUUGGUGAACUCUCAGUUGAUUUUAGGUAAAAGAUUCAUCUGCACAAAUGUAUAUUUAUCUUUCAUUGUAUUUUUUAUUACAAUCUAAUAUUUUUUAAAAGCUAAGAAAAUGCAAUGAAAAUAACAUUUUAAAAAGUGUCAGCUAUAUGAAUGAUAUUCUUUAAUGCAUGUCACAUUUAAAAUAUGACCUAUUUUUAAAGUACAUUGUAUAUGUCACAAGCCAGAUUUGGUCACAGGCCAUGGUUUGCUAAUCUCUGUCCUAAAGCAAUAUGGUAGUUCUGAACGUUUGGCUGAAGAACAUGGAUGGCGGUAGAAGUCCCUAAACUGGUCUUCAUAGCUUAGAAUAACAGAACUGCUGAGUUUGAAGGAAACCGAACAACUUAUCUCACUUACUCUCCAAACACUGUUCAAUUUCUCUUCAUACUUUUUUUUACAAUGUGGUAGUCUCUAUAUUUAUAUUUGAUUCAAAAUAUAAUGUUUUAAAACGGCCUGUACUGAUGUCUCUUCAAAAUCUUUAUCUUGCUUAAUCUUAGAAACUUUCUUGCCAAGGAGUGUAGGAGUAGACAUGAUAGCAAGGGAAAGGUAAUAGAAUAAAUUUUGAAAGCUAAAUGCUUUAUUUUGAUAUAGCUAAUAUUCAUAGACCUUAACAUUUACAUUAGUCAGCAAUCAACCAAAAGUCAUAGUUUCAAAUACACGAGGGCAGAAUCUGCCUAGCUACACAGGAUUUGACCACUUAAAAGUUGAGCUCUAUGAUUAUUCUGAUGAAGUGGAUUGGAGACCAUCACCUUUCUCUUAGUAAAUAUUUGUCCUUCACAUACCAAUCGUAAGUAUAAUUAAGCAUUUUUUACUUCAUCUGGUGCUUCAAAUUUUGUAUGAUGCAGGAUUUAGUUUUCUAUUCUAAUUCCUAAAAGCCAUAUUUCAGGCUGCAUUCUAUUAGGGGUGUCUCACUUAAAAUAAGAAUACUAUUAUGUAGCUUAACUUGCAUCUAUUUCCUUUUUAUUAUGGCCACUCAAUUGUUCCUGACUUUCUUUGGGAAUGAUUUGUUAAUUUUAUUCCAGUCUCAGCUAUGUGCCUUCACUUAACAAUGAACAUUGACUACUGGAUACUUAGCUUACCUUUUUUACAAGAUAUAUAUUUCAAGGUUUUGUUUUCAUAUAACAUAAAACAGUAAGGCAUUCAUUAAUCACUAUUAAAUUCAUUCUUUUCCUCUUUAUUGAAUUCUAAAGGAAAAUCAGCUAGUCUUUUUUUUGGCAUGUGUCAGCAAAAGUAUGUUAUUAUGAGGUGUUCUUAAAUAAUAUAUCUUCAUAAAACAAUAUAGGUGGAGGUUUAAGGAGAAAUAAGGAAAGAAAUUGGAACCAUCUGGAUAUCCAAAGUAGAGAAAAGUUUUUACUAAUGGUUGUCAUGUACACGUUACAAAAAUAACAUUAUACAGCUUUCUAACUGGACAGGAAAAGGCAGAACUAUCAAAAAGUUGAAAAAGAAGAUAGCCCUGGAGUGAAGCAAUUGACAAAUAAAAUCAUUUAUAAGACAUGCAUUUAGAAGAAAAGUGGAGAUUCAUGGUUCUUGGGUCAGUAAGGAUUAAACAUAUCUCAGAGAUGACCUGCUUGUUCCUGGGAAUCGAAAUACAGUUGCAUUCCAAAAAGGAUGGCUCCCUGGGAAAUGCAAGGAGGGGAGGACAGGAGGGAACAGAUUUUUGUUGUUGUUGUUUUUGUUUGUUUGCUUGUUUUCAGGGAUGAGUGGGAAAGCACCUUCUAUGUACUUGCUCCUAAAUCAGCCUGGUGAACUGGGAAGAGUAGAGAUUCCAUGAAAGAAAAGAAUGUGAAUACAUGCUUUGGAGAUAAGACAGAAAAUGGGAGAAAAAGCAAAGAAGGAAAGAAGGAAGGGAGGGAGGAAGAAAAGAGAGAUUCUCCAGAGACACACUGCACUCCCUCACAUGUAAAUGUUAUAUUAAAGAAGCAAUAUCACUGGAAAUUCACUUCAUCAGAUAUUUAAGUAUUAAUACAUAAAUUAGAAAUCAAUUUUAGGAGUGUUAUUCCUCCAAUACAAACAUUUUUUUCUGGCUUUUCAUCUCCUUGUCAUAUUCCCAGCAAAUAACCACACAGACGGGGUGUGUGUCUCUCCUUAAAUGAGAUUAGUGAAGGUGGCCCGAUCAAUUAUUUUUAAGCCUGACCAAAUAGGCGUACUCUAAUCUUGCCUAUUUCAGCAUAAUGUUGCCCAGCAUGAUAAAAUACUUAUUUAAACAGGUGUAUCAGUCUCAGAGAUCUGUAUGUAUAGUUUACCUUGAAGUCAAUUGAAAACAGAAUAUUCCUUAUUGAUUUUGCCUGCCUGGCUGCUAUAUGUAGUCAAUGGGACUCACGUGGAUGUAAAUAGAGUGAAUCAACUCCUUGCUGGCCCUGGACCUCCUUGAGUCAUGUGAAGUAGGUUUCUGAUUCCUUUAUGUUCAGGCACAGCCAGGGAGACAAGAGUACUACUGUCUUCUGCUGGUGCAGAGAGUUACCUCAGGCUAUGCAGGAAAAAUCCUUUUUUCUUAUUUUUAGACCUGAAUCAGUCUAUGCCACUAAAUGUAUUCUUGUGAAUACAGAUGCACUUUGUUGUCAUGCUCGUGGGAAGGCAAUGGAGUAACCUGUUUGGACGCAGCUGCAGGCCACCUGUAGAGAAAGUCAAAUUAGGGAGAGACCCCACUGUUCUUUGCAUUAAUGCUUUUUGUAUUGUUGUUUGACUUUUCCCCCUCUGUCGAUGUAUCUUUUUCAACUAGGGAGAUCGGGAGCACAUUUUAAGGCCUUCUGUCCCUUUAAGGCAUCUAAUGAUUGAAAGGACUCUAAGAUUUGAAAGGCUGUAAAAACUCCCCAGUUGGCAAUGAAUGAUGGCAAUACAAAGAAUCUUAAAGCUGUUGAAGUUGAAGUAGUCUUCUUACAGAUUUAGUUUGUUUGGUGAACUUCCAGCGGCAGCUCUUACAAGGUCAAGUCUAAAAAUUGGACCACUACAGGCUCUGACCACAUGUAUGAGAAGCCAAAGGACCUGUGAUCUCACCUGCCUCAAUCAUGUGCCAUUAUUUACUCCACUUGCCUCUUCUGAAUGGGUAUGAUCCCAACCAAACAUAGUGAAGGGGAAAGUUAAACAAUAUUUGGAAAGCCAUGUAUUUGGAAAGCCAAUGUAAAAGUGAAAAGAAGGCCACCCACGAGAGAGAGAGAGAGAGAGAGAGAGACAGAGAGAGAGAUCUUUCAUUUGUGAAUUGCAAAGCUUCAGAGGUCCGAAUUUGGCCAGUAUGUUUGCUGCAAAGCCUUGGAAUGCUGUUUUGCAGUUUCAAAAGUGAUCAUACUCAGCUUCCCAGAAUUUUUUAUGCCUGGAGGAUGCCACAAGAACAAGGGCAGCCUUGUUAACAAGUUCCAAUCUCUCAAAAACAAGAUAGGAUUCGGAUAUAAAUCAUCAUUUCAGCUCACAAAGCCAUGUUCUCCACCCCACUGAAGGGCUUCAUUUACAUCUAAAAUGGUUAAUACUGAUCUGCACCAGAACUCCUAAGUGGAGGAAUGCAGCUGCCAUGUGCUUAGUGACUCUGGGGUUAGGGAAGAAUGACAUCACCAAAUGUAAGCAUAUUAUCAUGCUGACAUAGAGGCACCUUGUUUUCUCCUCUGUGGAUAGAGCAAGGAUUGUGUUCUGUCUCUUGUUUUUUUCCGCUCGAAGAAUACCUUUCCCCCUCCCUUCUUAGCAGCUGCAAUAUGAAGGGCUGAAAAUGUCACUUCAACUAAUGAUGAAUGAUGCUUGACCUCUGGAUGGGUUACUCAGAAUUUUAUGCAAUUCUAAAUUAAUAUGAAAGAUCCCAACUCAAAGGACUUCGGCCGUUAAGAUUUGCUUCAAGGAUAGAUUUGUGUAAAGCAGUUAGUAGCUUUGGGGAUUUUGUUGCUGUUGUUAUUGUACUUGGUGGGGGACUGGGAGACUCGUGCUCUGUAAGCAAGGUAAAAGGCAGAAUGUGCUAACAUUUUUAUGUGUUAUUUUUUUCCUGUGAGAUUAAUAUCUUUUUCUACUAGAAAUAUUGUCAGUAAGCAGAACCAGUUUGUGAAAAAAACAUUCUCAAAAGGGCACAGGCCCACACGUCUUUGUUGUUUUUAUUUGAAUAUAAUUAAUUAUGUAAAGCAAUAGUUAGUGUAAGAUUAACAAUUAGUAGAUUCUGUCAAGUAGUCACACGGAAAUUACUAACUAAUUGAACUACUGGUCGUCUAUUGUGUCAGAAAGCAGUACUGAGUGUCAUUCUUUUUAUCUUUUUACUUUGUUGUUUUCACAGAUCCUCUUGUUUCUAAGAUGUAUGUUUCACAGCCGACUAAUAAAUAAAUAACCCUGGUUGUAAUUUCAUAACAUGCAAAAAGGUUUGAAAUAAAAACACCUGUUUUAAUUA
rnacentral:lncRNA from 1 species